AUGGCGAGCGGCGCGGAGGAGGAGGGGAGAGAGAGGCGGGAGGCCGGGGAGGAGGAGGAGGAAGACUACGAGGAGCGGCCGCAGCUGAGCGCGGCGGCGGCGGGGGCACUGCGGGAGUUCCUGGAGGAGCAGCGACGGCAGGAGCGGGACGAAGGGGAAAAGGGGGGAGGAGAAGGGGUGGAGCUGGUGGCGGAGGACUGGCGGCUGAGCCAGUUCUGGUACGACGAGGGCACGGCGCGGGGGCUUGCCGAGGAGGUCGCCCGCCUCGCCUCCGGCCUGCCUGCCGGCGGCGCCGCCGUGGCCUGCGUCGCGUGCCCCACGCUCUACGCCUACCUCAGGAAGAGCAGCCCGGAUGUACCCGCGCGGCUGCUCGAGUACGACGAGCGGUUCGGGCAGUACGGCGACGACUUCGCCUUCUACGACUACAACCAGCCGGAGGCGCUGCCGCCCGCCAUGAAGCACGCCUUCAGCGUCGUUGUCGCGGACCCUCCUUACCUGAGUCAGGAGUGCUUGGAGAAGGUUGCCAAGACGGUCUCCUUCCUCGCACGGCCUCAAGGCUCAUUCCUGCUGUUACUCACAGGCGAAGUUCAGAAGGACCGCGCGCUGGAGCUCUUAAACGUGCGCCCCUGCGGUUUCAAGCCUCAGCACUCGAACAAACUGGGGAAUGUGUUCCGGCUGUUCACGAAUUAUGACCCGGUAGACAGACUUGGUGGCUGGGAUCAGAGCGAUGGCGCCCCCAUUUAG
rnacentral:rRNA from 1 species